UGCCGAUAACUGACCAAGGCGGUGAGGGGUGACUGUUAAUCACUCGGUGGUAGGUUCGAUUCCUACAUCGGUAGCCA
rnacentral:tRNA from 1 species